ensembl:lncRNA
GGCAGGGCGAGCUGUCCUGCAUCCUGCAGGAGGAGAGGGACUCAGGCAGUGUGCUGGGGCUGCUCGUCCCCACAGACUUCACAGUGGCUUCUUUCAGUCCCACAGCUCUCCCGGAUGUGGCACCCUGGGACACCAUCUGUCACAUCUAGUUGGGUGACAGCACCAUGGGAUGCAGCAGCUGAGUCAUCAGCAUACCCACUUAUAUGUAAGGACCUCAGGCAAAGGGCUGGAUGUCCUCAGCAUAUUCCUCUUGACAAUGACUGACUCACAAGGACCAUGAGCAACGCACCAGAGGAGCCCCCAGCUGCGGAGCCACACUGGAGUGUCUCUAUGAGCUGAAGUGAGGUGCCAUGGAGGUGGCCACUCGGCACCAUCUUCAGCCUCUCAGUACCUGCAUAUAUCUACAUGUACCUCCAGUACCUCAGACAGGAAGCUGCAUGAAACUUAAUGCUUGGGGAAGUAAAGAGGCACACACUAUCUUCUUGUCACAGAAGUCAGAGGUAGCAAGACAUUAGAAAGUGACCAAGACAACAGAGUGCCUUUUUAUCCCCAUUGCUGUAAGGCUGAUGGCGCUGACAGAUUUCUCUUGUCAGCCCUGAAGCCUCCUCAGGACUGGAUUCUCCUGCACUGGCUGCAGCUCGUGUCCUGCUGCAGGGAUGUGAGUGCCUUACAGGGGCAAGUCCUCUGGGUAGGACACAGGAUCAGGAUUUUAAAGUCCUUGCAGGACACAGUGCUGAAGGGGCUGAAAUGAAGUGGCUUUUGAGUAGGUGUCUCUGCAGAAGCUUCUUCAUUUCCUUGCUAGCCAGGCAGAAGAGUCAUGAGAGAUUUUUAAAUAAUGCCUGUAAGUUGGAGGCAUCGUGUUUCCCUGUGUACUGUACUGCCUUUAUCACCAAGUGUCUGAUUGCUGCCAUCCCACAGCUAACUCAGGGAUGGAAUCAGGCUGCUGAUUUCACCGUCAUUAGCCGCUUCUGUGGCUACAUGGCCAUGCUGGGUGACAUCACUCCUCAAGUUGCCUCCUGCUCAGAACCAUAUUCUACCAGGCAGCCGAAACAGUCUCCCGGUUUGCUUGUUUUGGGAUACCUCAUUGCUCAAGUUCAGUUGCUCAUUUCCAUGGCCUCCCUUGUCCUGUGUUUAUUGAGUGCACCACUGAGUUCACCUCAGGAUACAGCUGGGAGGGGACUCAGUCUCAUCUAAUGUCAUCCUCAUUCCUUCCUGCUGCCCUCUGGGUCACUAUGCUGGCAAAACACUUGGUUAGUUAUGGACUGGAUCCAUGUGAAGUUAUGGGGGGAGUUGAAAGCUUGGGGUGUUACCAGCUGAAGCCGCUUUCCUGGCAGAGAUUGCUGCAUGGAGAGCUGUGUGGGAAAACACAAUGGAGAAGGAAAGUGCUGGACAGGGAUUGCUUAACCCAUCUUGAUGCUAAAUGGUGUUCCCUGAAUCAGAGCUUCGGGGAUCAGACUUGAACAUAAUUUUUUAGUAUCUUAAAGAGUAGAUCUCCUCAUGUAAGCACUGAUAUUUCAGGAGAAGUCAGCAAUGAACCAACAGAAAAAUGUUUUGAAGGCUUCCAGGUCCUGUUCCUUUUGAUUUAGAUGUCUACAUUAGGCAAAUUGGGUUUUGCACAGUACACAACAAGCUGCAGUAGUGGCAUCAUAAUACAGCUGCAAAUGCUGUAACUGCAUCAAGAGCUUCUUUCUUUGAUGCUUUCUCCCAUGAAAGCCUUAUAGAUAAAUUCAGGAAGUGUGGGAUAGAUGUGUGGACAGUGGAUUGAGAACGGGCUAUCUGGCAGAGCUCAGACAGUUGUGACACAGUGUGUCAGCAGCACAGUCUGGCUGGAGGCCUGCAACAAGUGAUGUUCCCCAGGGAUCGGUGUUAGGUCCAAUCUUGUUCAGCAUCUUCAUCAAUGACCUAUAUGAAGGGAUGGAGUCCACCUUCAGCAAGUUUUAUGAUGAUACAUAGACAGGAGGAGUGGCUGACACACCAAAAAGCUACAACUCAGCAAGACCUAGGCUGGCUGCAGAGUUGGGUGGAGGGGAACCAGUUGAAGUUGAACAAGGGUAAAUGUACAGUGCUACACCUGGGGAGAAAUCAUGGCAUGCAUCAGUACAGGUUAGGAGCUGACCUACCGGAGAGGAACUCUGUAGAGAAGGAUCUGGGUGUCCUGGUGGGCAACAGGGUGGCCACGAGCCAGCAGUAUGUCCAUGUGGCCAAGGUCAAUGGGAUCCCAGAGUGCAUUAGAAAGAGUGUGGCCUGGAGUACUGUGCCCAGUUCUGAGCUCCUCAGUUCAAAAAAGGCAGGUAUCUCCUAGGAAGAGUCUGGUGGAGGGCAACAAGGAUGAUUAAGGGCAUGUCCUGUACAAGGAAAGGCUGGGAAACCUGGGGCUGUUCAGCCUGGAGAAGAGAAGACUGAGAGGGGAUCUCACCAAUGUUGAUGAGUAUGUGUAAUGGGUGGGUGUCAAGUAAAUGGAGCCAGGCUCUUUUUUGGCAGUUACCAGCAACAGAACAAGAUGCAGUGGGCACAAACUGAAAUAUAGGAACCUCCAUCUGAACAUGAGAAAGAACUUCUUUCCAUUGGGGAAUGACAGGGCACUGGAAUAACAGCCCAGAAAGGCUGAGGAGUCUACUCGCAGAGAGAGGAGGAGCAGCGCUGAGCUCUGCUCUGUGUGACAGCGACAGGGCCCGAGGGAACGGCAUGGAGCUGUCAGGGGAGGGGCAGCUGGGGGUUAGGGAAACGGGCUGCACCAGAGGGUGGUAGGCAUGGAACGGGCUGCACAGGGCAGUGGGCACAGCCCCAAGUUGCUGGAGUUCAAGGAGCGUUUGAAUACCACUGUCAGACAUAGGGUCUGAAUUUUGGGUGGUCCUGUGUGGGGCUGGGAGUUGGACUCAAUGGUCCUUGUGGGUCCCUUCCAACUAAGGAUAUACUGUAAUUCUGUGAUUCUGGCAUUUACCAGGAGUACGAGUCGCAGGCUCACAGAAUCAUCAGGGAUGGAUAAGACCUUCAAGAUCAUCAAGUCCAAACAUCAACCUGACCUGCGGAGUUGCUAAAACUUGCCCCACAUCCACAUGACUUUAUAAGACAGAGCUGUAUUUUCCACUUUAACCAAACCUGCCCUGCUCUGCAAGCCAUUUCUUCUCUCUCUGCCCUUCUGCUAGCCCUUGCCAUGCCACUCCUCCCCAUGUAUUCUGGAUGGCGAGGCGAGGCUGUAAUGCCCCACAGCACACCGGCUUCGAACACCUGCAAGGAAUUAAGGGAGGGUGAAAUACUCCCAGGAGCCUGUUGCGCAUCCUUUAGCCUCUACAAAAUCCUGAAUUCCUUUUGCAUGAGAACAUGGGUACAUCUGCUUGCAAUCAUCGUUCCCCAGUCAGCCGGCCUGCCGAAGCAGAAACAUGAUUCUCCACACUUUGGUCAGCAUUCGCAGCCGUGGGGCCAGGAUUGGAGAGGAGCAGAAUAAGCCUGCCUUUCAGCCGCGCUUCCCCAGCAGCCUGCCUGCCCCAGUGCUCACAGUCCUGCGUGCUCCUUGCCCUACUUUCAGGGAUUGAGAAAUGCUUAAAUAAAGAGAAACUUGUUCUGUGGUGGAAAAAUGGUCACUUCUUCUGGCAAGGCAUUUGAGAAGGAGACAGGAAGCAUGUUAUUUUAAAGGUAAACUGAUAAAAUGUUUGUUUGCUGAAGGAGCAGGAGGAAUGUCAAAAACAUGUCUUUAUAUACUACUGUACAAAAAGUUAUUUGAGGAUAUAGCUCUGCCAUGACAACAACUGCAGGGUGUUGUAAGGGAAUAUUUUAUCUUUCACUUGUCUGCAGGCUCAUAUAGGAUCUUUUUCUGGCCAUAAGCAGGCUCUUUGUCAGUGUAUGCACGUGUGUGUGCAUGACUGUGUGAAUGCACACUCUAUAGCCAUGGAAAUAGCUAAAAAUUUUACAAGGACAGUGAAUAGACACAGAGGAAUACUAUCAGAUUCUCUGGUGAUGCCAUUGUUUGGUUCUUAAUGUUUUCCCCAGCUGAUCAGCAAGGAAAUAGCUAAAUAUCCCUAUAUUAAUGAAAGCCUCAUGCUGUCCCAUUGCAGGUUGUAGAAUAGAAUCACAGAAUCAUUAUGUUUGGAAAGGACCACCAAGAUCAUCCAGUCCAACCAGCAGCCCACCCCCACCAUGCCCACUGACCACGUCCCUCAGUGCCACAUCCACACGGCUCUUGAGCACCUCCAGGGAUGGUGACUGCACCACCUCCCUGGGCAGCUGUGCCACUCCUUCUGAGAAUAAAUCUUUCCUCACAUCCAGCCUGCACCUUGCCAGUAAAACUUGAGACCGUUACCUGUUGUGCUAUUGAUGAGAUAGAUAUAUAGUGCUUCUAUAGAUUUGCCAGAUUAGAUUUAGAAGACAGCAGCCUUGAAUGCUUCUACACAAAAGGACUAAAUUUACUUUAUGAAUGCAAUUAAGAAUGUCAUGUUUUGGGAAUAAAGUGAAGGUAUUCUUAACAAGAGAAAACCUGACCAUCAAGUAGCCCAGUUUUCCUGUGAUUCCUGAAAGCAUGCUGAAGGCAAUGACCACAGCACCCUCUUCAUCCUCAGCUCUGAUUGUGCUUGAGCAUCGUCAGGUGGGACAUCCACCGAUCUGGUUAACAGGACCUGAGCUGACGUCUUGCUAUGUCCCCAGAUGACAUGGCGGCAGAGAGAAUUCUGUAGUGGGAGUCCAGCCAAGGAGACCUUGGCUCUCCAAAGCCUCUGCACUGUUUACAUAUGCCCCACACUCACCAGCCUUUUGGCUCUGCUUUUGCUGAGGGACAGCAUGCUCCUCCACCCUUACAUGACAUUCAGAAAUCUAGCUCUUUAAGAGAGGAUCAUCUGUGAAGCCAACUGGCAGCUCCAAGUGUUCUCGCUCUCCUUUGGCAAUUUUAUUAGCUAUAGUUGCAGAAAUGUAGAUCAUCAGGAAUUUGAAAUUUCAGUACAUUCAAAGAAACGCAAAGCCUUUUUGUAACAUUUUCCAGUAGGGGAACACAGGCAGACACACAGUUAUAUAUCUGGCCUUUACCAUCUUGUAAUUUAGCUAUAUCUUAACUGAGAUGAAGAUGAGAUGCAGGAAUCUAAGCAAAUGAGAGCACAUCCCUGCAAUCUGACAGGAAAGGUUUGCAUGUGUGACAGGUGUAUUUCCUAAUUUCCUCUUCAGGUGCCUUUUACAAAUGUCUGCUUUGAAUCAUAGAAUCAUCAUAGAAUCACAGAAUAGCCUGGCUUGAAAAGGACCUCAAAGAUCAUCUAGUUUCAACCCCCCUGCUAUGUCCAGGGUCGCCAACCACCAGACCAGGCUGCCCAGAGCCACAUCCAGCCUGGCCUUGAAUGCCUCCAGGGAUGGGACAUCCACAACCUCAUAGCAUAGUGUUUGGUUAGCUCUCCAGCUUGACUUCCAUACAAGAACCGUUCCCAGUCACCAGGGAUAUUGGUGGACAGGCAGCUUUUUAAAAAAUACGGAACGCAUGUAUUCACUGGUAUGCACAUUUGAACACCACAGUUUAUCCACAUGCAUUCCCAUGCACACAUGCAGAACUUUUAUCCCACAGUAGAACGACUUGUGCUAGUCAAUGAAGAUCCAAAGGAAAGCAUCUGUCAUUAAAAAAGCAAUAGGAAGACACAUUUAUUUAGCACAAGCUGAAAUACAGGCAUGUUUUCAUGCUGUGUUUGGCUUGGCUUACCACAGGCAAGACUUAAUGAAGUACAGAAAGAUUGUCUUAAAGAAACUGUGCAGGGUUUGAUGUUUACUGCGACUUCUCUCUGUUGGCUGCCCCUAAAUGUUCAUUUGGGUGUCGCAACACACUGGCACUCUAAUAAAUCCAUUCUGGUCCUAUUUAGAGAUUUCAUACUCGAUGCCUUUCUUUUUUUAAUACACCUUCCUGCCCUAUGAAUGCUAAUGCAGGUCUUCUUGACCAACCUCUUCCUAAUAAUGACAUAUAGAGAUGAAAACCUCUCCUGUGAUGGGCACAGAUGAGAUUCCUUUAGCUGUGUCAAUAGGCUUUGAAACCACUGAUUGUGAAGUGUGAUUGCUUGUGGAACUGAACAGUUAACAGAGCAUGGGUCAAGCUUGGAUUUUCAGUUAGAGGAAGGGUAAGCCUGUAGGCUAGUGUAUCUCUGUGGUAGUCAGCCAGCCUGCUGGUUGGACCUCAGUGUAGCAGUGGGAAAAUCCACAUCCCUUUUACGCUUCUUUGUAAAGUCUGUGCUUGUAUGGAACUCUUCUUACUAUUUGCCAUGCAGCUUUCAUCCUCAGCAGGUGGCACACGCACAAAUGUUUUGCUUCUGGGAGUAAAUGUAAUUUGUCAAGACCUUAUGCAAUUGUGUUUCACUCCUGCUCCUUAGUCUUUCUGAACUGUUAUGCCCUUUUCCUCCUUCUUCUGCUUACCUGUAGACCCUCAGCUCACCGUAACCCUGUAAUCAGCCACUGUCCUUUUUCAGAUAUUGCUUGAAGCCACUACUGUGCAGUUGAAGGGAAAAUGGUAGCGACUGAUUUGAAGGGAACUUGGCUUCGGCUGACAUUUCUGUGUAAAUUUCAAACAAGCAGUUUCGUAGGUGAUUUGUAAAUGUAUAAACCCUGUGCUACUACCUGUCUUUUCCUUCCUUUCAUAUCUGAGUGAGAUGCAUUGAUUUUAAGACUAGAAGACAUCAGUCUGGUCUGACCACCUGCAUAAUUCAGAUCCUCUGACAUCCCUGGAAAAAUUCAGCUUUCUGAAUCAUAAAGAGUACUUGUGACAGUGAUCAUCUUUUAGAAAGAAAAAUAAUCUCCCCUUGAUUAAGAAAGAUCCACCUGUUCCUAUGUAGUCCUUCUUACAUUCUUCUGCUGUUACCCAAGAAAAAUGUUGUCUUAUACAUAUGCCACUCUGAAAGCAAUGCCUCCUAUUUAUUUCCAUGGAAAUGACAACAGAUACAAAGAGCACAAUGACACUGUUUGAUAGAGCAAAUUUUCAGCUACAAAACACUCUUUUUCGACAGUCACUAUCAUUAGCUAUGCAUUUUCACCAGCGAUAAACAAGAGCCUGCAUGUCACACUACUAACAAUCUGCGUGGCCAUCCAGAACAUGGCUUGUUUUUCACAUCUUUGUCACCACUGCUGAGGCACACCGCCGCUGCCUCUCUGUGCUCACAUCCACUGUUUGGUCGCCACCAACAUUCAGCAGGUGUUGGUGAAUGUCAGUGGGUGCCAUUUUUUUCUGCAUGGAGGAGUUCAUUGACACACCUGUGCUUCCUACGCACUUCUGUCAAAUGCCUUUGUGUCAGAGUGCCACUCUGCUGCCAUCUGUCACAUGGCAAUGAUAUGUAAUGGAAUACUGGUGGGAAGGUUCAACCUCUUCUGCCAUGACACCAAUAUCCACCUCUGAAGUGUCAACGUAGUAAAACAGGAGGCAUUACUUUUGGAGCAGCGAUCAUACCUUCCAUACACUCAUUAAAUCCCAUCUGAUAUUUUUCCUCUGAAGUUAAACUCUAAAGUCAUUACAAUGACUCUGUCUGUAUCUCUGUCUGUACAUUCAUCACCAGUGCACAGAAUCCUAAUACUAGUGAACAAAACAGGCACGUUCCUUAACUGUCAUUUUUCUUGUCACAAAUUAAUCCUUAGAUAAUUUUGGAUAGUUUAUUCCUAAAGCUGUGUAUAGCCUGGGAAAGGAAAAGGCAGAUACAUUUUCCAGUGUUGUGUUAUGAAGAGAAUGUGCUUAGAUCUUUGGAUAAUAUUUCUAUUUUGUAUUUUAUAUAUAUAUAUAUAUAUACUUAUAUGAGUUCAGUUCUCUGCAUGUGAGAGUUUAUUUUUAAAUGAAAAUAUGUGGUGUUUAAAUGGAAACCAGACAUGGAAAUGGGGGAGAAACAUCUGACAAAAAUAAGAUGAGACAGAAUUUGUCCAUAAUGAAACCAAAACGUGUGUCAGCCUUUGUUUUACCUUUUUCUCUUAGGUAUGAGCCUAAUCUGAAGUCGUCUGUGCUCUUACAGGUAAAUGAAUCUGUGCCUUGGGCAGCAGGAGUUUUCCUAGAGGAGACUGAUGGAUUGCUUCUGAUAUUGAGUCUAUAAGAAGAAAAAGGCCUCUCCCUGCUGUGUAUUUCUCCCCUCCCUUUCCAAACUGUUCAGCAUGGCCUGUCUUAAGCACAAAUAAAAAAGGCAAAUAAGAUUACUGCCAUGGAAAACUUUUCCAUAGGUGUAUUUAGUGGCUUUGUAAUGAUUUGGCUAUUUUGGGGUAUGUUUUUUUAUUUUUAUUUUUAUUUUAUUUUCAAAAGUGUAGAAGGAUGUCUCAUGGAAGCUCCAACCCAAACCACACAAUGGAAUUUUCAUACGAAAUGACUGACCUUGCUAAAACCAAGGGCAAAUGUUCCUUUUGAAUCAGAAGACAUGGAUCCUGGCCCAGGGGCCUAGAAUUCGCUCAGCAGAGCACCAGGUUGGGUCUCCAAAAAAUGUGCUCUUGUGUUGGGUGCUUCCUACUUCAAAGCACAUACAUCCUAUGCACACCCUGUUUUCUCCUCACUGAGAGAAGGCAUAGCAUGCUCCCUUACCGUCUCCAAUAAAUAAGUGUUUAAAACAAAAAUGUCCUAUUGCAUCUCAUUUGCCAUCACCACAUAGCCAUUAAUC